AUGUCAGACAAUAGAUCAUGUUACUGAGAAAACCCUCAGACUCUGCAGUGAUGAGGACAGAUAUAUACACCUAUGCCCCAUUGAAACAUGCCACCCUGAACACCCAGCAGACUUAGGUCAGGCCUAGCAGCCCCCAUCCCCCCUCUUAGAACCACCCAGGUCCCUGAUAGAUGUGCUGACCUAUUCCUUCUUCCUCCUCUCAGCUGCUGUCCUUAGCACCUGGAUCCAGUUGGCAUCUCCUCAAUUUCUAAAAUGAAAGUGGAGCUCAGACCGCCCUAUGGCAUGGUGGGGGGCAACAUCACCUUAUCCAUCCUGGGGCUCUCAAAGGAACCUCGAAGGUACACUUGGUUCAAAAAGACAACAGAUGGGUCCAACAGGAUUGUGACCUACAAUGUUCAGACAGGACAGCAGACACCAGCCAAUGGUCGAGUGAUUGUAUUCCCCAAUGGCACUCUGCUCAUCACCAACCUCACCCUCGUGACAGUGAUGAGUACAUAGUGGAGAUUUUUUCUACAGUUGAUGGUCUGGGAAACUAUCAGUUAUCUCUUCUAGGGGUACAUCUGGAAGUCUAUGAUUCAAAUUCCGGAGGAGGGGUGGUCGCUGGCAUUGUGAUUGGAGUCCUGGCUGGGGUGGCUCUCAUUGGGGCCCUCAUCUAUUUCCUGUACAUCAGAAAGACUGGAAGAGCCUCACAAGGGCUACUGGGAGACCCUGGACCAGGAGGGAAAACUCAACCAGCUCAGAAGCCUAGCCAGGUUCUGGAAAAUAUUUGCUGGCUACAAGACCAAAUCCUUCUGCACAGGGCUUGGGCCCCACACCCACCUCCUCUGCAGCAGCCCCUGAAAAUGUCUACCAGGCACUGGAUGUUUCCCAAGUGGCUGUUUAUGAAAGGUUUGCUGCCGGGAGCAAGCCUCAAACCGAGGAAGGUGGGAGGAGUCCCUAGAGAUGAUAUCACAACCUGACUGCUUUCCUUGAUUAAGUUUCUAAGGAAAAGUUUAGUCUAAACAGUUCCACCUUUGUUUCUGCUGAGCUAAAAGGGAGAUGACCAUCAGGUCUCUUCCAGCUGGACAAUUCUAUGGUUCUAAAAGUCUAUGUAUAACCUUGAGGAAUCUCUGCUGUGUCCAGAAGGUUGAAGCAUUGGGCCACCGCUUAUCCCACCAAGGGCCCCUCUACUGUGGAUCCAAGUGGUUUGGACUAGGUUCAGCCCUGAAGGAGCCUGGUCUCUAAUGAGAGGUGGUAGCUAGACUGCUUUAGUUUACAUAAUCCCAGUUCUUAAGGAACAAAUUUAAUAUAGUUUAGUUUAAGGCUUAUGUACUGGUUAUCCCCCAAAGGGGUGAAGAGUAGAAGCAUGUAUCGGUUUACAAGAUGAUUCAAGUGUGGGACAAGUACUUAUUUUUCUAUAUAUGAAAGAAAUGAGAGAUACAAAAGACUCAUGGAACACAUUAACAUCUUAAAACAAGAUUCACCAACUUCACAUAUAACUACUAUUGCAACCUGCUAUAAGAGGAUAUUUAAACCUCGUAAUAACAUAAAGCAGUCUACAAGACUGAUGAUUAAGCAUUUUGAAUUUUGCCUAGGUUCUGUAUUUUCCAGACAAUUCUUGUUGCAUGUCUGCUAGUGCAACAAUUAGUUUGGGACCAAUACUCUUGUCCUAUACACAUGGAGACUCAGGAUGAGAAGACCGAUGAUCUUUUAAACACAAACUAUUCAGGAAAGAACCCUCUAUUCGUUAAAAACAAAAAACAAAAAAACUUGGGAAAACUAGCAAUUCUUCCAGCAGAAAUUAGGCUUAGACUAACACCUCAGACCAUCUUUUCACAAUAAACUCUGAAUGGAUACACA
rnacentral:lncRNA from 1 species